ACCUCUUCUGGACUGAGCCGCAAGCCGAGCGUGAGUGCGCAGAACCUUCCGUGCAGUCAUAAGAGAUUCACAAGCGGGCUCCAACAGGAGGAAAGAAGGCACAUUGGAUAGACCUUGGAUCAAAGACUGUCCAAAGAAGAAAAUAAAAGAGGAAGACUUUUGCACUUAUGUUGGCGAUCGAUGGUGGGGGACCCAGUUCAUCCGACCUCUGGCUGACUUCCAGCGGCCCCAGAAACAGAGCAACGAGUUAAUGUCAGCAUCUCUGAAGUAUAAUUGAUAGAUCCCUUUGUAUUGGAAAGAUGUCCUCCCAUCUAACUAUCCAAGACCAGUCCAAGUUGAUGUUUAUAAUUUAUAUUGACAGAAAUAGCACUGUAUCUGGAUCUUUCAGUGCUGCUGUUGUUGUUGUUCUUUUGUUUUGUUGUUGUUUGUUUUGUUGUCAUGAAAACAAAAGAUGAGGGAUAACAAAGUUAACAACAACCAUUAACAAGAACCAUGAUUAAUGCAGAUGGGAAUAUUAAUUGCUCAGUGACUGUUUUUGUCAAUGUCUUUAUGUCUCAAAGUGUUCUGUCAAUUGACUGUCUGUUGUCGUACUAGAGCGGCUCCAACUACCGGAGACAAAUUCCUUGUGUGUUUUUUGGACAUACUUGGCAAAUAAAGAUGAUUCUGAUUCUGA